rnacentral:rRNA from 1 species
AGCGAACGCUGGCGGCAGGCUUAACACAUGCAAGUCGAGCGGGCAUCUUCGGAUGUCAGCGGCAGACGGGUGAGUAACACGGGGGAACGUACCCUUCGGUUCGGAACAACUCUGGGAAACGGGAGCUAAUACCGGAUACGCCCCUAUGGGGAAAGGUUUACUGCCGGAGGAUCGGCCCGCGUCUGAUUAGCUAGUUGGUGGGGUAACGGCCUACCAAGGCGACGAGCAGUAGCUGGACUGAGAGGAGGAUCAGCCACCCGGGGGCUGAGACACGGCCCAGUCUCCUACGGUGGGCGGCAGUGGGAAAUAUUGAUACCGGGGCGGAGGACAAAGCCUGCCGGUCCUCGUGAGCUUUUGUGGCCUAAGGGUUGUAACGCUCUUUUGUCCGGCUCGAUAGUGGCGGCCCCGAAAGAAAACGCCCCGUCUCUCUUCG